UACAGCCAUAUCACAUUGAAACACCAGUUCUCAUAUGAUCACCAAAGUUAAGCAGUGUUGAGCCUAGUCAGUAAUUAGAUGAGUGACUACUUUGG